AUUGAACGCUGGCGGCAGGCCUAACACAUGCAAGUCGAGCGAGCGGCGGACGGGUGAGUAAUGUAUGGGGACUGCCCGAUAGAGGGGGAUAACGACUGGAAACGGUGGCUAAUACCGCAUACUAUCGGAUAACCCAUAUGGGAUUAGCUAGUAGGUGAGGUAACGGCUCACCUAGGGGACGAUCCCUAGCUGGGCUGCGAGGAUGAUCAGCCACACUGGGACUGAAUAACGGCCCAGAAUCCUACGGAGGCAGCAGUGGGGAAUAUUGCCCAAUGGGCGCAAGCCUGAUGCAGCCAUGCCGGGUGUAUGAAGAAGGCGUUCGGGUUGUAAAGUACGUUCAGUCGGUAGGCGUUGCCGACAGAAGAAGCACCGGCUAACUCCGUGCAAGCAGCCGCGGUAAUAC
rnacentral:rRNA from 1 species